AAAAACAUCGCCUCCUGCUUAAACAUAGGAGGUCCUGCCUGCCCAGUGACCCAUUCAACGGCCGCGGUAUUUUAACCGUGCAAAGGUAGCGCAAUCACUCGUUCUUUAAAUAAGGACUUGUAUGAACGGCUUCACGAAGGCUGCGCUGUCUCCUUUUCCACAUCAAUGAACCUGAUUUCCCCGUGAAGAAGCGAGGAUUAACCUAUAAGACGAAAAGACCCUAUGGAGCUUCAGAUUGGAUAUUAUAUAACCCUAAAUUAGUAUACCUACAUAUCCACCUUCGGUUGGGGCGACCACGGAGAAAAACUAACCCUCCACGACAAACAAACCAAAACACACAACUUAAAGCACCAACAACUUGACACUAUUGACCCAAUUACAAUUGAUCAACGAACCAAGUUACCCUAGGGAUAACAGCGCAAUCCAUUUCAAGAGCCCAUAUCAACAAAUGGGUUUACGACCUCGAUGUUGGAUCAGGGUAUCCCAGUGGUGCAACCGCUACUAAAGGUUCGUUUGUUCAACGAUUAAAACCCUACGUGAUCUGAUUCCAGACCGG
rnacentral:rRNA from 1 species